rnacentral:rRNA from 1 species
CCUACGUGAGGCAGCAGUGGGGAAUAUUGCACAAUGGGGGGAACCCUGAUGCAGCGACGCCGCGUGAGUGAAGAAGUAUUUCGGUAUGUAAAGCUCUAUCAGCAGGGAAGAAAAUGACGGUACCUGACUAAGAAGCCCCGGCUAACUACGUGCCAGCAGCCGCGGUAAUACGUAGGGGGCAAUCGUUCGCCGGAUUUACUGGGUGUAAAGGGAGCGUAGACGGUUAUGCAAGUCUGAAGUGAAAGCCUAAGGCUCAACCAUGGGACUGCUUUGGAAACUGUAAAACUGGAGUGCAGGAGAGGUAAGCGGAAUUCCUAGUGUAGCGGUGAAAUGUGUAGAUAUUAGGAGGAACACCAGUGGCGAAGGCGGCUUACUGGACUGUAACUGACGUUGAGGCUCGAAAGCGUGGGGAGCAAACAGGAUUAGAUACCCCAGUAGUC